rnacentral:rRNA from 1 species
AUUGAACGCUGGCGGCAGGCCUAACACAUGCAAGUCGAGCGAGCGGCGGACGGGUGAGUAAUGUAUGGGGAUCUGCCCGAUGGAGGGGGAUAACUACUGGAAACGGUGGCUAAUACCGCAUACCAUCGGAUGUGCCCAGAUGGGAUUAGCUAGUAGGUGGGGUAACGGCUCACCUAGGCGACGAUCCCUAGCUGGUCUGAGAGGAUGACCAGCCACACUGGAACUGAGACACGGCCCAGACUCCUACGGGAGGCAGCAGUGGGGAAUAUUGCGCAAUGGGGGCAACCCUGACGCAGCCAUGCCGCGUGAAUGAAGAAGGCCUUCGGGUUGUAAAGUUCUUUCGGUGGCGAGGCGUUAACUACAGAAGAAGCACCGGCUAACUCCGUGCCAGCAGCCGCGGUAAUAC